UACGUAGGGUGCAAGCGUUAAUCGGAAUUACUGGGCGUAAAGCGUGCGCAGGCGGUUUUGUAAGUCUGACGUGAAAUCCCCGGGCUCAACCUGGGAAUUGAGUUGGAGACUGCAAGGCUAGAAUCUGGCAGAGGGGGGUAGAAUUCCACGUGUAGCAGUGAAAUGCGUAGAGAUGUGGAGGAACACCGAUGGCGAAGGCAGCCCCCUGGGUCAAGAUUGACGCUCAUGCACGAAAGCGUGGGGAGCAAACAGG
rnacentral:rRNA from 1 species